GCGCUCCGGGCUGAGGUGUUGAGGGCUCAGGAUUGAGGGAUGGAAGAUAAGAGAUGGGAGGGUCUGGGAGGGUCUGAGAAUUGAGAGUGGGAAGGAUGAAGUGCUGGAGGAUGAUGGGCUCUGGGCUGAGGGGCUUAGGGUUGAGGGACUGAGAGCUGCGGGGCUCUGGGCUGAAGGCUGAGAGACUGAGGGCUUAGGGUGCACAGCUGAGGGGCUGAGAUAUCACUGGCCCAGUUAAAAACUAGUGAUGGGGUUUGUGAUUUACAUUUCCACGUUGAUAUAACCAAGGACUAUAAUAUUUGUUUGUUUUAAGCACCAAGGUGAGGACCUAACUCAAACAAGAGGAGUCCCCAGUUGUUGCUCCAUCCUUCAGAAGUGUUAAGGACCAGGCUGGAUGGGGCUCUGAGCAGCCUGGCCUAAUGGAAGCUUCUCCCUGCCCAUGGCAACUGGGUGAUCUUUAAGUUCUCUUCCAGCCCAAACCAUUCUGUGAUUCUUUCCUCACCUCGUUUCACUGUCUCACCGGGACAGCCCCUGGGAAAGACACUUCCCGACUCAAGAUCUACACUGAGAGAAUGUAAUUCCUCUGGGACCGGAGCAUAAAGUACCCGAAACCAGAGAUCGGUUUCUCUGAAACUGGAGGUUUAUUGACGGUUAAAUCCUUUCCUUGGGCUUAUGAUCAAGCUUGUGGCACAGCAAUAUCUGUAGGUGAGAACUGAAGCUUGGAGCUCUGCUGCCUUCCACUGCUGGCUCACAGGAAGGAUCAAUCCCACACAACUCAUUAUCUCAUUGCAACCUGAGACUGGAAAUGCCUGAGGGCGGGAGGCGUUUCUCCGAGUGGAGCUCAGUCAUCCUGCAGAGCGGGGCAGCGCUCCAAGGCUGCGGGAACAGCACAACAAUAACCAACUGCCUUCUGGUUAAGAAAAACAAGAACCCAGUAACAAGGCAGUACUAAAGGUUGGCAAACCAGAGAUACUGCAAAGUGAAGGACUGAUUGGUUUCAUAUCCAAAGUGUCCACUUUUUCUUCCAGAAGCAGGAAAAAAAUUACUUCUGGUAGCACUGAAAGGAAUAAAGAAAGUACAAGCUUGGAAAAAGGCUGUACAUAAUUACUGGUGAGUACUGUGCAGAGUUUAUCUUGCAUGUGUUGAUGAAACCUGCUUUGAAUGUUUCAAACUGGGUUCUUGCAGAUCAAACAGAAACAAAGCUCCAAACUUCAGCAGCUGCAGAGCAGUUACAGGCCCAAUGACAGCUCAGGAAUUAGCAAUGCCAAGUGAAAAAUGUCACAGUGGAUUUACAACUAGAUAUUAGGAAGAAAUCUUUUACUGUGAGGGUGGUGAGGCACUGGCACAGGUUGCCCACAGAAGCUGUGGAUGCCCCAUCCCUGGAAGUGUUCAAGGAUGGAGCUCUGAGCAACCUGGUCUAGUGGAAGGUGUUCCUGUCCAUGGCAGGGUUUGGAACAAGAUGAUCUUCACAGUCCAUUUCAAGCCAAACUCUUCUGUGUUUGUGUGAUAAUGAUUUUUCUGGGAAAGAAAGGGGAAAUGCUGUAUGCUAUUGAUGCAUUUAUAUGACAGAUAUGACAGCUGUUUGUGGCACCCUGUAAACAUGCAUGCUCUUCCUGGAAGGAGCCUGGCUUCAUAAGGGUGUGCAAAUAUCCUGGUUGCAAAUCACGAAACUGUAAACAAAGGUCCACUUUUGACUGGUGGUGUGGGCCAAUGUGGUAUAAGAAGACAGUUGUUAGUCUGUAACCAGAUAAUACCUAUCUUCCAAGACAACCCACAAGUAACCAACUAUGCAAAAGCUGGUGACAGGUAAGGGUGUUCCACAGCAUUUGAAUUUCUGAGCUUCACUGCUAAGUAGUUUUUUAUGUUAGCAGGCCAAAGCAAGUCUUCUCUCCAGUCUGUCACACUUCAGGCCUGUAGAUACUGCUUACACCCAGCAGGAUAUAAAGAUGAUUGCUAAGUUUUGAAAGUGUACUUCCUGCUUGUAACAACUGUGGUGCAACUUAGAUCAGCAUUCAAAAUGACAUUGAGAUGAGAGCACUGAGAGCAGAAGGAUCUUGGACUGCAUUUCAGCUUGGAUAUGUCAUAUGGUACCUAAAGAUUGAUAAAGAUGUGAUAAAUCUUAGUUGUUCUAGUAUGGGUACAGAGAUGCAAGAAUAAAUAAUACAUACAUAUGGAAAAAUUGCAAGUUUCUCAAGAAGCAUUUGCAUGUCUGCAUCUUUCCAGCUACAGCCGAUGAGGAAAAAAUCCCUGCUGGAAGUCAUCUGGCAUUCAGUGCUUAGUCUGUCAUUGGAAUGACUAAGCAGAUUAUUAUGGAGGGGUUUUGCACCUUUUUUGUUUUGACUGCUAACAAUUACUAAGACUGGCAAACGACUCUGCCUGAGAGGUUAGCUCAAAGUUUAUAGUUCAGAUGAGCAAAAACUGGAUUUUCCUUCCCUGACAGCCCAUUUGUGUUGAGUAGUACCAGCAGCAUUUUCUGUAUGAUGCACAGUAAUGCUGCUUUUUGUGUCCUCUGGUUUAGAAAUAAAAUAAUUCUAUCUGUGCCUCUCUUCACCAUGUCUCAUGUCUGUAAUAUCACAAGGGAAAAAUCAGUGAGCCGCUUUCUUCUGUCAGGCAAACACUGUUGGUUGCCAUCAUGCCUUGACACUCAGGACCUGAGCUGCCUUCUUUGUUUCACAUCUGUGCAGAUAAAACAGAUACAGCAGCUCCACAGGAUUUAUUUUAUCCAGCUUAUUUACCUUACUCCAUCUGUUCAAAGCAAAGAAACACUGGGAACAGGGCAGGUAAAAGGCUGAACUAGA